rnacentral:rRNA from 1 species
CCUAGCCUUGGAGUGGGGAAUAACAGCUGGAAACAGCUGCUAAUACCGCAUGAUGCAGUUGGGUCGCAUGGCUCUGACUGCCAAAGAUUUAUCGCUCUGAGAUGGACUCGCGUCUGAUUAGCUAGUUGGCGGGGCAACAGCCCACCAAGGCGACGAUCAGUAGCCGGACUGAGAGGUUGGCCGGCCACAUUGGGACUGAGACACGGCCCAGACUCCUACGGAAGGCAGCAG